AUUGAACGCUGGCGGCAUGCCUUACACAUGCAAGUCGAACGGAUUUGAGGAGCUUGCUCCUCAAGUUAGUGGCGAACGGGUGAGUAAAGCAUCGGAACGUACCCAGUCGUGGGGGAUAAUGUAGCGAAAGUUACGCUAAUACCGCAUACGAUCUGAGGAUGAAAGCAGGGGAUCGCAAGACCUUGCGCGAUUGGAGCGGCCGAUGUCGGAUUAGCUAGUUGGUAGGGUAAAAGCCUACCAAGGCGACGAUCCGUAGCUGGUCUGAGAGGAUGAUCAGCCACACUGGGACUGAGACACGGCCCAGACUCCUACGGGAGGCAGCAGUGGGGAAUUUUGGACAAUGGGCGAAAGCCUGAUCCAGCCAUGCCGCGUGAGUGAAGAAGGCCUUCGGUGUAAAGCUCUUCUAGACGGAAAGAAACUUACCGGGUUAAGUACCUACGGAGGAGUGACGGUACCGUAAGAAGAAGCACGGCUAACUACGUGCCAGCAGCCGCGGUAAACG
rnacentral:rRNA from 1 species